ACGAAGGUGGCAAGCGUUGUUCGGAUUUACUGGGCGUAAAGGGAGCGUAGGUGGUUAGGUAAGCCCUCCGGGAAAUCUUCAGGCUUAACCUGAAAAGGUCGGGGGGGACUGCCUAGCUAGAGGGCGGGAGAGGAGCGCGGAAUUCCCGGUGUAGCGGUGAAAUGCGUAGAGAUCGGGAGGAAGGCCGGUGGCGAAGGCGGCAUCCUGGAUCGAUAUUGACGCUGAUGCGCGAAAGCCAGGGGAGCAAACGGGA
rnacentral:rRNA from 1 species